rnacentral:rRNA from 1 species
UACGUAGGUGACAAGCGUUGUCCGGAUUUACUGGGCGUAAAGAGCGCGCAGGCGGUCGAUCAAGUCGAGUGUGAAAGCCCCCGGCUCAACUGGGGAGGGUCAUUCGAUACUGAUCGACUCGAAGGCAGGAGAGGGUAGUGGAAUUCCCGGUGUAGUGGUGAAAUGCGUAGAGAUCCGGAGGAACACCAGUGGCGAAGGCGACACGCUGGGCCGUACCUGACACUGAGGCGCGAUAGCAUGGGGAGCAAACAGG